rnacentral:tRNA from 1 species
CGGAAUAUGGCGCAGUUUGGUAGCGCGCCAUCUUGGGGUGAUGGAGGUCACAGGUUCGAAUCCUGCUAUUCCGAC